CGGCCGGGCCGGGAGGUGCGGAAGUUCGCCGCCGCUGUUCAUUGGCAGGCAGCGCCGCUUUCAUCAUUUCUCGGAAAAGUCAAUUUCAUUUUCACUUCCCCACGUCGCGGCAGCGGGAGCAACAAGCGGCUGCUCGAGUCGAGUAAGGACAUGUAGAGAUGGAUCUCUCCAUGAAUGGAACUCAACUAAGGAAGAAAUUGAAAGACACAUUCCAGGUGCAAAUAUUGACUCUCCAAAGGAACGUGUAAGAACCAACUUGUCAAUUGGUGUGUCUCCGGAUCAGUAGCUGUUAAAAAGUGAUACAGCCCUUGAUCAUUAUUAAAGUUUAAAUAAUCUUUUGCUUUGAUUCGCAUCAGGUUUUAAAUAUGAUGCUUGAGAAAGAUUGAGAGUAAGAGAAAUCUAUAGCAACUAAAAAAUCCUUUCUAAUUGUAAAUUUUCAUUUCACUUAUAUGCAAAUUUCAGUUACUGUGUUCUUAGCAAUCGAAUUCUUAGAUCACAAACAUGAAUGAGGACUCUAAGAAAAAUAUCAAACUUUUAUGUGAAAUUUGUUCUUUCUGCCUUUCUUCUUUCUGGCACUUUCAUAUUUAGUCAUCAUAUUUCCUAUUUUGCUUGCUUAAUUGCCACAUACAACAAGAUUAGCCGACGGGGAAAGAAAACAUCUCAUUUGAGGGCAGUGAAGGAAAGGCCCUUUCUCUCUCUCUCUCUCUCACACACACACACACACACACACACACACUGGAGGAGGGUUAUCUGCAUGCAGAUGCUCAUUUGGAAUUCAGAACAUUUUUUCCUGCAGAAAUAAGAAACUAUAAUAGUAUAAGUAUAUAGUUUACCUUCAUUAUAAGUUAAAAUAAGAGUUUGUGGGCUGGCCUGGAAAUACACCAUUUUAUAACGUUGUACACAUGGGAGAAUUUCACUCUGAAAUCUAAACGGCUGUUUUCAAAAGAAACUAUUAGAGCACACUGCGUUGUCUGGGUCUGGCUCUGCCCGCCCUCCGCCCUGCUCAGGGCUGUGCUCAGCAGCAUGGAGAAGACAAGGAAGAAAGAGACCUGGUUCCUGAUCUCAAGGCAUUUGCAGUUGACAUUGAGAGACAGGGCCGACAACGAAAAGAUGAUUAUUACAAGAGGGAAAUGGUAUGCGUCCCCUCUCCCAAGUAACAUUGGAAUACAUUCAUUUAUCUGUUCAUUCAGCAUCUGUUUCUUGACUUUACAGUAAUUAUCUCUCUUUUUUAUAUUUUAAAUGAUAUUUCUAAUGUAAAUAAUACAUGAUUUCCAUAGACUGUUAGAGCAACACAGACUUAUUUGUAGUGACAAAAUCAGAAAGAACUUGAAUGUCUGCUGGCAACUGAAGGAUUGAAUAAAGUAUGGUUGAUCAUCCUAUGGAAUGUUAUGCACCAAUAAAAAACAAAUUAAGAAUGUUUGUUGAUCUGGAGAGGGGACCAGGAUGCAUUAUAAAGAAUAAAAAUAAAGAUGCAAAGAAAUAUUCAUAUUAUGAUCUUUUUGCAAACACAACAGUGACCCCCCCUCCCCCAAAAAAAGUUUGAAUUAAAAAGUAUAAAGGGGGGGACCAGCCAGGUGGCAUAGUGGUUAAGCUUACGCACUCUGCUUUGGUGGCCUGGGGUUCACAGGUUCAGAUCCUGGGCACAGACCUAGCACCACCCACAUAAAAAACAUACAGGCAGACUGGCACAGAUGUUAGCUCAGCAACAAUCUUCCUCACAAAAAAAGGAAAAAAAAAAGGAUAAGGGUGUAUACACAAAGCUGUUAAUAUUGGUCACCUUGAGGACAGGUGGGUUACUAAUGUUUUUCUUCAUUUAUCUUCAUCUUGGGGGAAAAAAUGAUAAUUUUAAAACAAAAUGAAAAUUUGGAAAUACAGAGUGGAUUAAAGAGAAAAAUUAAAAUCACUUUGAUUUGAUUUCUAUUAUGUUAAAUGUGUGUGUGUGUGUGUGUGUGUGAACUGCCCUGGAUAAUUAAUUCGAAAUGAUUUUUCUUGACCAUCACUAUGUUUAUGUCAACUCAGGGGCCUCCUGGCAAGACUGCUUUAACCCAAAGCCACCCAGUAGACCCACGAUGGAGACCCCUUUAAGCAGAUGGGACCCAGGUGACAAGGUGGCAACUUUCAGAAAAAUAUUUACUUUCCACAGAACCAAGAUGUCCUUGGUGGAAGUGACCUUUGGGGUCUAGGAUCCAAGGUUACACAAGAGGGUUUGGUGCACAGAGAUGCUACAACAGACCCCUUCUCUCUCCUUGUCCCAAACCUGAGGACCUUACUCAGAAGAAGAGACCCUGGGAUUUGUCACAUUGUAAUGUCUGCAGAAAACAAGUUGUGGGCCUGACAAAGCCAACCUUGCUGAGUUUUCUCCUGUCACUCCUGUGAGCUCAGCCUGAUGACCAGUCCUCAAAGACUCUUCCUGUGUGACACCGAGAUACUAAGGUGGGGGAGGAUUGCAGCUGGACUUAAGAGAAACUUUUGGAAGAAGAGACAAAAAGAAACCAUCCAUUUGGAGCAAGGUCACUGAAGCCAAGUACCAAGUAGCACCAACCCCUCCCAUCCUGCCACCAGUCCCCGUGAAUUUAAAGGAGUCUGCAGUCAUGCAGCCCUUUCUGAGUUAGCACCCUAAGCCCACCUGUAUCCAGUCAGCGUCCAGGGACUCCAGAAGCUCUCAAUACUUUGCAAAGAGGAAAUAUUCAACAGAUUCAUUCAACAAAUAUUUGUGGAGUGCCUGCACUAAGACACAGGGUUUUAGGGUAAAGAUAGUUGGCUUGGAUAUUAGCCCAAUAAAAUUAACCAUUGGACUAUCAGUGGGAACCCCAGAGAUAGAUAUUCAACAUGAGCCCGAACUAAAAAUACAACUCAUUUCCUAUGUUGUGGAGUUUUUUUUACUUCUUUGCUUUAAAAGUUAGAUCAAUAUGAGUAUAGCCUUUCACUGUAAACUGAGCUCUGGACAUCUGUAUGUAACUCUCAGUGGAAGGCUCACCGAGAAGUCUGUCAGAGCAGCUCUUUAAUCUCAUCAUGUUUAAACCUGAACUUGUUGUCUUCCCUCCAAAUCUGUAUGUCGGCUAUGAAUCACUCUUACGUGCCUCUGUUCCCUUGCUUCCAAGAUCCGAUCAAUCUCCACAUCACACCACUUCUACCUUUUGAACAUCAUUCAAACAAAAGUGACCUACACUACAGAAGUGAUCUCUUCUGUAGACAAUCUAUCAGGCAAUCACAGAUGGGUACUAUUAUUCUCAUCCCCAUUUGACAGACGAACAAACAGUAUUACAGGGGUUAAAUAACUUUCCUAAGAUCACAUAACUAGUAUAUGGCAAAGCCAACAUUCAAGCUCAAGUCUGUCUGAUUCUAAAGACUAGGGUCCUUAUGGCCUGUGCCUCGAGUUUAGCAAUCACUGCCCUAGGUGAAGCCUUAUCCCUUCUUCGUAUUGGUCUUUCACUCUUUUUUUCAGUUUCUUUUUUACCUUUAUUAUAUUUUCUAAAGUUAAGUUUGUAAGGGUAUAAUAUACAAAAUAAAAUUCACUCCUUUUAAGUACAGUUUGAUGAGUUUUGACAAAUGUGUAUGGUUGUGGAACUACCACCAUAAUCAAGACACAGAACAUUUCCAUCAUCCCAAAAAGUUCUUCUUGACCUUUUACAGUCAAUCCCCUGCCCUAGUUUCUGACUAUGGCAAUUACCAAUCUGAUUUUUCUCUCUAUAGUUUUGCCUUUAAGGAAUGUAACAUAAAUGGAAUAAUAUAGUGUGUAACCUUUGGUAUCUGGCUACCUUCACUUAACAUAAAGCUUUUGAUUUCAUCCUUGUUUUUGUGGGUAUCAAUAGUUCAGUCCUUUUUAUGGCUGAGUAGUAUUCCUUUGCAUCCAUGUAUCUCUGUUGGUUCAUCCAUUCACCAGAUAAAGGACAUUUGAGUUGUUUCCAGUUUGGGGCUACUAUGAAUAAAGCUUCUAGAAACAUUCACAUACAGGUCUUUGUAUGAACACAGGUUUUCUUUUGUCUUGGUUAAACAAAUACAUAGGGGUAGGGUUAUAGGUCAUAUAGAAAAUGUAUGUGUAUGCUUGACUUUAUAAGAAUCCCUCAAAAUGUUUUCCAAAGUGGCUAUGUAAUUUUGCAUACCAACCAGCAAUGAAUAAGAGCUCUAGUUGCUCCUUAACCAGAACUUAAUAUUGCCAAUCUUUUUAAUUUUAGCCACGCUAAUAUGUACGUAGUGGUAUCUCAUUAUGGUUUCUAUUUGCAUUUCCCUAAUGACUAGUGAUGUUGAGCAUCUAUUUAAUGUGCUUAUUUGCUAUCCAUAUGUCUUCUUUAGUGAAAAAUCUAUUCAAAUCUGUUAUUAAUUUUUUAAUUGGAUACUUCAUCUUUUGAUUGUUGAAUUUGGGGAGUUCUAUGUUCUAUGUACAAGUUCUUUAUCAGAUAUGUGUUUUACAAAUAUUUUCUCCAAAGCUAUAGCUUGACUUCUCACUUUCUUCUCAGUGUCUUUCAAAGAGCAGAAGUUCUUAAUUCUGAUUAGUGCAAUUUAUUGAUUUAUUUUCUUUCAUGAUUCCUGCUUUUUAUUUUCUAGGUAAGAAAGCUUUGCCUAAGCCAACAUUGCAAAAAUUUUCUCUUACAUUUUCUUUUGGAUAUUUCAUAGUUUUAACUUUUAUAUUUUGGUCUAGGAUCUGUUUUGAUUUAACUUGCCCAUGGUGCAAGGUAGGACCAAAGUUCACUCCUUUGCCUAUGGAUAUUCAAUUUUUUGAACAUCAUUUAUUUUUUUAAUUAAUUUUUUCAAAGAUUGGCACCUGAGUUGACUAUUGCCAAUCUUCUUUUUUUUUUUCAGCCGUUUCUCCCCAAAUCCCCCAAGUACAUAGUUGCAUAUUUUAGUUGUGGGUCCUUCUAACUGCGGCAUGUGGGACGCCACCUCAGCAUGGCCUGAUGAGCGGUGCCAUGUCCACGCCCAGGAUCCGAACCGGUGAAACCGUGGGCGGCCAAAACAGAGCACGUGAACUUAACCACUCGGCCACGGGGCCGGCCCCUGAAGACCAUUUAUGAGGAGACUAUCCUUUACCCGUUAAUUUAUGCUGGUACAUGUAUCAAAAGCAAUCAACCAUCCAUGGUUGUCUUAAAUGCUGUAGCUUUAUAACAAGUCUUGAGUCAGGUAGUAUAGGCUCUCUAACUUUACUCCUCCUUUCCAAAAUCAUUUUGGAUAGUCUAGGUCUUUGCAUCUGAUAUAAAGUCAGCAUGUUAAUUUUGCCAAAAAGGCUUGCUGGGAUUUUGAUUGGAAUUGUACCGAAUCUAUUGACCAAUUUGGCAUCUUAACAAUAUUGAGUUUUCUAAUCCAUGAAUGUUAUUUAAGUCUUCUUUAAUUUCAGCAAUGUUUUGCAGUUUUCUAUGUACAAGUCUUACUUUUGUAAUUAAAUCUAGUCCUAUUUCAUUUUUUGAUAAUAUAAAUUUUUUAAAAUUUCAGUAUCCAAUUGUUUAUAACCUUGUAACCAGUGACCUUGGUAAACUCAUUUGUUCUAGAAGCUGUUUUGUGGAUUAUUUGGGAUUUUCUAUGCAAAUGAUUAUGUGACCUGUGAAUAAAGACAUAUUACCUCUUCCUUUCAAA
rnacentral:lncRNA from 1 species